UGCACGGCCAGUCUACUCAGAAGGUUGACAUUUGAGUGGAACUUGAAGACUGCUUGGUCAACCAUUUCAUUUGAAUAUUCAUCGAUGUGGAGUCAUUUUUGUUUUUGUUCUUAGGCAACAUUUCAUUUGAUGGUUGGUGUUUUCCUCCAGCAGCCUGUUGAAAUUACAGUGCCCUCUCACUGUACAACAGCAUCAAGUUACAACAGCAAGACAAGACACCUGACCAUGGAGGUUACCAAGGGAAAUUGAGUCAUUCAGCAAUUUUGUCUUCGACAGCUAAUGCAGAAUUCCACUAGAUGGGUGUGCAAAACAUGUAGCUUUGAAUCUAACAAAAGGACAGGAUUGUUAAAGCACUACAGGCUAAAACAUCUACAUGUAGAAGAUAGACGAGAUGCCAUCAUCCGCUGCUUGAUGGAGUUCCUUGGAGAGUACAGAGGAACUCAUCAAAGACUACCAGGAUGUGAGCAAAGAAAUCGUCAGAGAGGACUAUGCUGAGCACGUCAUGAAAAUAGUUGUCCUCCGUGGAAGUGCAGCACACGAAGGCCCUGCCGAUGUGUCCAUCAUCAUCGAGGGAAGUGAGGUUCUUGAUGACUGCAGAUGUGUGUCAAAGGCUUGCCUUCUGCUCAUGGGCUUCAUAUAUGCAAUGAACUUAAGUUAUCCACCGAAGAUGAAAUACACUUUUGAGGUAUUUCAGAAGCUCUUUCUUGAGCUAAAUGUCCUGAAGAUGUCUCCAAAAGUCCAUGCAUUGUGCAACAAACUUGUA